AUACGUAGGUGGCGAGCGUUGUCCGGAUUUACUGGGCGUAAAGGGAGCGUAGGCGGUAUUUUUAAGUGAGGUGUGAAAUACUCGGGCUUAACCUGAGUGCUGCAUUCCAAACUGGAUAUCUAGAGUGCAGGAGAGGAAAGUAGAAUUCCUAGUGUAGCGGUGAAAUGCGUAGAGAUUAGGAAGAAUACCAGUGGCGAAGGCGACUUUCUGGACUGUAACUGACACUGAGGCUCGAAAGCGUGGGGAGC
rnacentral:rRNA from 1 species